rnacentral:rRNA from 1 species
UGCAGUCGAACGGGCUUAGGAGCUUGCUCCUAAGUUAGUGGCGAACGGGUGAGUAAUAUAUCGGAACAUGUCCGGAAGUGGGGGAUAACGUAGCGAAAGUUACGCUAAUACCGCAUAUGCCCUGAGGGGGAAAGGGGGGGAUCGCAAGACCUCUCGCUUUCGGAGUGGCCGAUAUCGGAUUAGCUAGUAGGUGAGGUAAAGGCUCACCUAGGCGACGAUCCGUAGCGGGUCUGAGAGGACGACCCGCCACACUGGAACUGAGACACGGUCCAGACUCCUACGGGAGGCAGCAGUGGGGAAUUUUGGACAAUGGGCGCAAGCCUGAUCCAGCCAUACCGCGUGAGUGAAGAAGGCCUUCGGGUUGUAAAGCUCUUUCAGCCGGAAAGAAAUCGCGUUUAUUAAUACUAAGCGUGGAUGACGGUACCGGAAGAAGAAGCACCGGCUAACUACGUGCCAGCAGCCGCGGUAAUACGUAGGGUGCGAGCGUUAAUCGGAAUUACUGGGCGUAAAGCGUGCGCAGGCCGUUUUGUAAGACAGAUGUGAAAUCCCCGGGCUCAACCUGGGAACUGCAUUUGUGACUGCAAGACUAGAGUGUAGCAGAGGGGGGUAGAAUUCCACGUGUAGCAGUGAAAUGCGUAGAGAUGUGGAGGAAUACCGAUGGCGAAGGCAGCCCCCUGGGCUAACACUGACGCUCAUGCACGAAAGCGUGGGGAGCAAACAGGAUUAGAUACCCUGGUAGUCCACGCCCUAAACGAUGUCAACUAGGUGUUGGGGAAGGAGACUUCUUUAGUACCGCAGCUAACGCGUGA